GGGUCCCGCCCACACCAGCCACGGGGAGCGGACUUCCGGCGGGGCGGACCCACGGCGCUGCCCGAGGCGCAGCGGACCUGACUCCAGCCCGAUCCCGGGAGCUCGACCCCGGGAGUGCGACCCAGGGGACACCGAGCCCCUGCAGCCCCGCAGUGAUCCUGUCUACUGAGAGGGCUGGGAAGCCACAUGCCUCCUACAACAACCAGAAGCCAACAAGCGAGCCUCGUCUCUCAACAAGAAAAGGAAAACGAAGUCUCCAGUAGGUCAGAUAACUACCAAUGCCACCCGGCUGAUGACAGCAGAACUGGCUUCCAGGAUUGGCUGCCGUUUCUGAAGUCCACAUAACCUGCCAAUUUGUCCAGAAGGAGCCACAGACAGGUCUGCUGAGGGGCACGGACGGGACUGAAGUGUCCCCUCCUGGAGCACCCCUGGGCGCCAGCCUUAGCAAUGCUGGCUGGGCUUUCAGACUCCAUCUGCGGAGCCACACCCCGGAGUGCAAUGGGGUAGAGAGGCAGGUAAGAAAAUAAACGUGGUUAUGGUUAAUUUUUCCCCAAGUGCUAAAAAGAGCAAAAGAGAUCAGAGCCCACGCAGGUGCAUGAAGGUGAGGAAAAGGAACCAGAACCCGAGUGGGUGCAAAAGACUAACCCAAGGUCAAGUUCGGAGCCUACAGCCCGGCGGACACCGGCACAGCAAGUUCCCUGGCCGCACCUGCCUCCUCACUCAGACCUCGCACUCAAGGCUCCCUGUGCUUUUUGGUGUUUUGCGGCUCCUUGGUGUCUCUGCUAGGGGGUGGGCAGGCUCUUCCUAUUCAGCAGACAUUCACAAAGGCCCCGAGGGAACGGCGGGUUGCGGGGAUGCUCCUGGCUAACCCCAGGUUUCCGGAUUAUCUGGGCCAUUUUUAUUCCUGACAUUCACAGCUUCCUCCCGUUACCUGAGAUCAUUUGAAAGGCGGAGGCCGGUGGCUCCCGCCUGUAAUCCCAGUACUUUGGGAGGCCGAGGCGCGCCGAUCACCUGAGGUGGGGAGUUGGAGACCAGCCUGGCCAACAUACUGAAACCCCGUCUCUACUAAAAAUACACAAACUAGCUGGGCGUGGUGGUGGGCACCUGUAGUUCCAGCUACUUGCGAGGCUGAGGCAGGAGAAUCGCUUGAACCUGGGAGGCGGAGCUUGCAGAGCCGAGAUGGCGCCACUGCACUCCAGCCUGGGUGACAAGAGCAAAACCCCGCUUCAAAAAAAAAAAACAAACAAAAAAAACACCUUCCCAGAAAGAUGGCUAGACUAUACUCAGAGUGAGCCAAAGGUAGGUAUGAAGCCCCUUCUCCUGCUACUAUCUUAAACCAAGUGAACCUGGCCAGUAUAAAACAGGAGAAAUGCUAUGCAGCUACGGUGUCCAGUGCUGCCUUUGGGCAGUGCUGCCAACCAGAAAGGUCCCAAAAUGUAAUUCGAAGCCCGUUAUUCCCACCCAUUUUCCCAAGACACCCACUCAAGCCUGACCCGGAAAGCACACCCUAGUCCAGGUAUCACCCUAUGAGCCGAUUCUCCUCCUGAUACCUGUCCUGGGGAAUCCACAUGUUGAAGGGGCAGAACUUUGGUCUCCUUUCCCUGUGUCCCAUUCUAGGAAAAACCUCUGGGAUCCCCCGACAGUGGCAGCAAUGGAGCCUGCAUCAGAGGCUGCCCUGCCUCUCUGCCCUAAUUCAUGUUGGCCUCUUCAGUGCACUUGAAACUUACAAGGCAGAAUGAAAUGAGCCUGGCUCCUGAUCUGUGUUGGAACAAACCCCCGAGGGCAUCCUGAGCCGGCGGGAGUCUGGGCCUGGGCACACGGGCUGAGCACAGGGCUUCAUCUCACACGCGGGGACACAGCCAUGAAAAGAUUCAUCCCGAGGAAGCAGCCUCCACCAAGCGGGCUUUCUCAGCAGCUAUUUCAUAAUUAUAAUAAAAGCCACUUGCAUUGCACAAGCUCACAAUAACAUAGAUAAAAAAAGGUAACACGGAGCAGCCUUGGCAGAGGAAGUGCCCUGUGAUACCUCUACUGGUUAUGAGUAGUCUUGGAGGACUAAUCAGAAAAAAGAUUUAAAAAAAUGAAGAAACCACCAAACAAAAGUUAAGCAGGGUUCCACAGUUACGGAGCCGCUGUGCUAGACAGUUCCACGAAGCCACUGGGGAUGGCCGGGGAGAUACUCCAGAGACCUGCCCACCGCCCAGCCCUAGCAGGCCCGGGUCUGCAUGUUCACACUGCGCCCUGGGACCCACCGCCCAGCCCUAGCAGGCCCGGGUCUGCAUGUUCACACUGCGCCCUGGGCAGAAGCCCGCUUCCCUCCUGCCUGGGACUCCACAGGCUCUGCGGGGAGAUGGUGGAGGCGAUCGAGUUACACAUGGACAUGUACUCUGAGCUGGUGGGAAGGAAACGCCUUGUGAACUCCAAAUAUAAUUAGUAGAAUAUCAUUCAAGGAAAAGACAUUAUAAGGUUUAAUUGUUUCCUGCCCUCCUUAGUCCCCUCUUCUGAUUAUGGUGACUUUACAUUUUCCUUAGUGAAAUGAAAAGAACGUGGGGUAUGGAGGAAGGACCUUUGGGCUCAUGGUCCAGCAGGAAAACUCAGUAGCCGUGUGGCCUGCGCAGGAGCCGUAACCCCUGGGACCUCAGCAGGCUGUGCCGCCUAAGAGUGUCGGGACUCAGCAGGGUGUCCUGAGGACUGGAAGCAGUGACUCUGGUGGAUGGUCUCUGUAGAGUCUAACACGCCACACAAAUCCCACUGUCACCUCCUUUUCUCUCCCUCCCCACCUCCUCCAGGGCCCGGGUGGCUGCUAUUGUUCAGUAUCUUUUCCAGGUGUGGUUAUGACAUCACCUUCGCACUGUCCUCUUGGAAUCACUGAAGAGGUUUCUGGGAUGGGAGAGCUGAAAGGAGCCUUAGGAAUUUUCUAGAACCAUCAUCCCACACCACCACCCACUUCAGAAGAGAACCGAGGUUCCAAGUCACAGGGCAAGUUGGUGGCAGACCCAGGUCUCCUGACUGGCUACAGUGCCCCCCAGCCCCAGCCUUCCCCGUCUCCUCCCACCUCGCCGUAGCCCCACCUUGGCCUGCCCCGCCAGGAAGCAGAAUUCCCCCUUUCAAGGGUGCUCUGAAGCCCCCAUGGCAAGCCUUUAAGAAGGAUGACCCACUUUAUUCAAUAAAGAGGAGAACACAGA